GGGGGGCUAUAAACGGCAGCUGAGCUAGAAGUGGAAGAACAAGAGAGAAGCCUCAGUAAGCAGAGGGAGAUGUGGAUCCAGGCUAGGCAUAAAGAAAGGAGGAGAGACAGGGUCUCCUAAGUGCCGAGAUGAUAAACUGGAGACUUCUUGCCUGACUAACCUCUAUAAGCCUUCAUUUCCUCAUCUGUAAAAUGCGAACCAAAGCGCCUGCCUGGCUGAUGUGAGAGUUAAAUGAAAUAGCGCAGACUCCUUAGCAUGAAGUGGAUGCUGAGACUCUUGUUUUCACCUGAGGAAAUGAGGCUCCAAAAAGCUUAGUCACCCAUUAGAAGGCCUGAGGUUUGGGCACCAGACUGAAUAAAAAGAAGAAAGUGAGAGAAGCACCAGCA